GUACUUCCAAAGUACAUAUACUAAAAUUGGAACGAUACAGAGAAGAUUAGCAUGGCCCCUGCGCAAGGAUGACACGCAAAAAUCGCCUUGACAGACAAACCUGU
rnacentral:snRNA from 1 species